rnacentral:rRNA from 1 species
UAUCUCUGUAGAGUCUGCAUAUCAAUAAGCGGAGGAAAAGAAACUAACUAGGAUUCCCUCAGUAACGGCGAGUGAAGCGGGAAGAGCUCAAAUUUGAAAUCUUCAAGGUUCUACCUUGACGAAUUGUAGUUUAAAGAAGUGUUUUCUGUUGGAGUUUUGGUAAAAGUUCUUUGGAAUAGGACAUCAUAGAGGGUGAGAAUCCCGUAUUUGACCAUUACUUUCCAGCGUUGUGAUACACUUUCAAAGAGUCGGAUUGUUUGGGAACGCAGUCCAAAAUGGGUGGUAAAUUUCAUCUAAAGCUAAAUAUUGGCGAGAGACCGAUAGCGAACAAGUACCGUGAGGGAAAGAUGAAAAGAACUUUUGAAAAGAGAGUUAAACAGUACGUGAAAUUGUCAAAAGGGAAGCGUUUGACACCAGUGUUGUUUUCUCGAAAAUCAAUUAAAAAAGGCAGGAUUUUGUGUUGUAUUGACUUUAUCAGCUUUCUGCACUCUUUUCUUGUCUUUUUUUAAUGCACUUUUCGUUUAACAAGUCAACAUCAAUUUCUUUUGUUGUAAAGGGUCAUUGGAAGGUGGCUUUCUUUUCGGAGAAAGUGUUUAUAGCCUUUGGCCUCUGCAAUCGGAGAGAUUGAGGUCUGCAGCGUAGAUCCUUCGGGGUUAGAUACAUUUGUGCUAAGUUAUAGCCUUUCAUAGACAACUUGUUGACUAUGAUCAGUCAUGUAGCUUACUCGCUUAUGCUAUUUUACCUACGCUUAGGAUGUUGACGAUCAGCUGAGCGCG